GCUAGACCUGUACAGCAAAGCAGAAGAAAACAAAGCUCUGCUCUUACUGGAUGAGUUUCUAUGUGAAGCCUUUAAAUCCUGGAGACCAUUUAGCAAAAAUUAGCUUAAAAGGACAGUAAUUUUUCAAUAAAAUGUUUUCAAUUAUUUUAGUUAUUUUAGUUUAAUGUUUCUAUGAAAGUAAAUCAUCUGUGAGAGUAAAUGAAGAAAAGAGAGGAGAAGAGAGAAUUAGAAAGUAGAAGAGGGGUGAAGAAAAGCGAAGAGCAGAGAAAGAGCAGAGCAGAGCAGAGCAGAGCAGAGCAGAGCAGAGCAGAGCAGAGCAGAGCAGAGAAGAGAAGAGAAGAGAAGAGAAGAGAAGAGAAGAGAAGAGAAGAGAAGAGAAGAGAAGAGAAGAGAAGAGAAGAGAAGAGAAGAGAAGAGAAGAGAAGAGAACUCACUGGUGAUAUUGAGAUCUUCUAUCCUUCAAAGGGAUGAGACUACAUCCUCUGGCAAAUCCUGCAUGAUAUUCUAGCUGCCAGAAGAUCAGGUUUGCAACAGCUCCUCUUCAGUUCUGGAGAACAUAGUUGAAGCAGUGUUGCUUUUGCCUGAUGGUGGACCAUGUACUGAAAGACAAAGAUCAUGUGUCUGUGACAUUGAAACUAGAUGAUCAUUAUUGUCCUUUUCAACUCAGGCCAUUCUAUGAUUCUGUGACAUCCUAAAAACAUGUUUUGAGGCUUCAAAGAUCAACUCUGCCCUCAGACGUUCCCAAGAAACCAAGGUGAACCCAGCCAAACCAAGAGCUGCCACCAAGACUGAGAAGAAGCCUUCAGUUCAGAAAUGGGAAAUACUCUCCUCAAAAGGCAAGUGGGGAAGCUCAGCCUGCCAGAUGGCAGAACCCCCUUAACCGCUCACCCCGAGCCAAAAUUUGCAACAGCAGUGUUUGCAAAUGAGAGGCCCCUGGUCUCAAAUGCGUGUGAACUCCAUGUGCAAUUGUGCCACUGAAUUUUGUGGGGGUCAGUGGCAGUCGAACUCAUGUAAUAAAGGCUAGAAACUGGCUCUGAAACUCAGUCCUCCCUCUGCUGUGCUCUCAGAUAUCUGGCCAGACACCACUGCUUUCUUGUGCUACAUCCAUGCAAAAAUAUUUUGGACAAGAUGGAAAUGACUAUUGUCAGAGGCAAGGGCUAAUCUGUGAAGGAAAGUGUCAAAAAAUCCCCAGCACAGAGCAUGGGGAAUACACAUAGUCCUUAUAGUUUUGAAAGAGAUGUACAGACUCUGCAGUCAACAGUUCAUGGGCUCCAUCACUUUGAAUGAUUGAUAGACUGGUUGGCUAAGGAAAGCCUGGAUCAGGGCUCAGAUCCACACCUCUCAGUGUAUUGCAAGACCCAUGCUCAGGGCAGAUCUCCCUGGAAUUCACCAUACCAAUGGAGAUUUUAUAUUCAUUUGACAGUUUUUGUCUUUCUCUGGUUGCACGAAGGGCACUCAUGUCAUGGAUCUGCAGAUGAUCAAGUGAAAAUGAAAGUUCAUGUUGCAACUCACACCAUUUGCUCUGCUGGUGGAGUCACCCAGCGGCAGCAGGUCUGGGAGCCUGGCAUCCUGCAUAGAAAUCAGUGAAGGUCACCAGGGUAGCGUCACCUUCAGGUCUUAGGACUUUUUGGUUAAAAACAGCUUAAAGCCACUGUUGACCUGUGCUGUGUUUGAGUCAGUGACCAAGAGAUGAAAGACUUUCUAUCCUAUUUCUAGUCCUUUGACUUGCUCUGCUGUAACAAUAAAUAUCCCCCAAAUAUCUUGGAACUCCCAGAAAUAUAGCCUUAAAAUAAACUUAUAUCACAGGCUAGUAAUUACUGAAUGUUUUGCAUUGUUUCUCCUCUGGGAGAUAUAUAUCCCUCAGGAAAUGAGUUUCUAAUUGGGCAGAAUAGGAGAAACAGGGCAGCAACAACAGUGUGGGAAAGCUGAAUUAAUAAAAGCUUCUAGAUACCCUCUGGCCACCCUGCACAGAGAAAUGACAAAUGACAUACCUGGAUGAGGGCAUUUUAACUUUGGGACUCCUUGGGAGGUGCCUGAACCAGGAAGAGAGGAAGAGAGGAUAGAAGCAAAAAUGCUAUUAGAGACCUGGUAAAAAUUUACAUGAAGUGGUGCACAGCGAUGCUUACAAAAAAAAACCAAACCAGAACAACAAAAAACCCUUGACCAUGUUACUGACAGUACCUGUGAAGAAACUCAGCUACUAAUUUUUUUGCUUAGAUUAAGAAAAUACAUAUACCCAUCCUCUUUCCUGAGGUGCUAACGAGCUUAUUUCAGGUCCAACAUUCCUUUUAUGUACAGAGUACUGGGAGUCUGGAUCCUGUUGACAGUGCCUACCCAUUCAUAGAAAGGUUGGGCUGAGCCAUUCUCAAGCACUCUAUGGCACAAAGAGACCAACACCAAUGAGG
ensembl:lncRNA